ensembl:lncRNA novel transcript
UUCAGCAUCCCGAACAGCAGCAGCGGUCCGCAGGACUCGCAGGACUCGGUGCACAGCAGCCCUGAGGAUGGCGGCGGCGGCGGCCAGCACCGGCCGGUGGGCGGGAGCCCCGGCGGGCCGCGCCUGGUGAUCGGCUCCUUACCAGCUCACCUCUCACCGCGCAUGUUUGGAGUCUCCCUCUGAUGCCGAGCGGAGGCUGGACUGUACAGCCACCAUCUCGGCUCACUGCAACAUCCCUGCCUGAUUCUCCUGCCUCAGCCUGCCGAGUGCCUGGGAUUGCAGGCUCGCGCCGCCACGCCUGACUGGUUUUUGUAUUUUUUGGUGGAGAAGGGGUUUCGCCAUGUUGGCUGGGCUGGUCUCCAGCUCCUGACCGCAAGUGAUCUGCCCGCCUCGGCCUCCCGAGGUGCCAGGAUUGCAGACGGAGUCUCGCUCACUCAGUGCUCAAUGUUGCCCAGGCUGGAGUGCAGUGGCGUGAUCUCAGCUCGCUACAACCUCCACCUCCCAGCCGCCUGCCUUGGCCUCCCAAAGUGCUGAGAUUGCAGCCUCUGCCCGGCCGCCACCCCGUCUGGGAAGUGAGGAGCGUCUCUGCCUGGCCGCCCAUCGUCUGGGAUGUGAGGAGCCCCUCUGCCCGGCCGCCCAGUCUGAGAUGUGAAGAGCGCCUCUGCCCGGCCGCGACCCCGUCUGGGAACUGAGGAGUGUCUCUGCCUGGCC